UUGACAUUACUUGUUGGAGAACUGAUGCCUCAAGUUAGCCUCUUUUGUUAUUACAUGACUCUGUUGAUACUGUAAGAAGGAUAAAAAAAAGGGAUAAAAUCAUUAGUUUUGCUUCAGUGUCAGGUCACAAAAAGAUGCUGGGACCAAAGCAGAUGAAUGGUGACUGGAUUGAAUAGUAUCAAAGUUUUCACGAGUUUAUAGAAGGCAAAACUCUAUGUCAAAGACUACUGCAAAUUCCUCACCAGCCUUCUGAAGCCGAGAUCAUUUGAUCAAUAAAAUUCUAAUAUCUUGUCAAAUAAUCUCUUAAUUGAAAAUUUUAAGUCCUGUUUUGGUGAAUAAACGACCAUAAUUGAGCUGCUCAUAGUGCUGAAUAUGGAGGAGAGAUAUUUUGCUCAGGGAUUUGAUGUUUCAGUUCUUGGAGAUGGGUGUGAUUUUAGUGAUCCUGGUGAUGUUGGUAUCUAUGUGCCGGAGAGGAAUUUCAGAACAUUUUAAACCUGUCUGCAAGCGAUUUGGGCUCCGAUGACAAGAAGGAAGUAAUGCCCUUGGAUCUUGAAGGGUCAUCAUGUCUCACCAUGAAUCACAUUCAUGCACCAGCACUACCACUGAUGACAGAAAUGGUUUCGAAUAUAGCCUACCUCUGAUGACAGCAAUGGUUUCGAAUAUAGCCCCAUUUUGCUUGGAGUCUAUACUUAUGUGCGUAAAUAUCUAAGCCAUUCUUCUCCGACUCGUUUAAGCAGAUCUGGAUUCCAUUUGCAAGGAAUGCUUGUUCUUCAUUCGAUGAUUCAUCUGGGUGGAAUUUCUUUGAAUUGAACGAACUUUUCGGUCAGCACUAGAGAAGUCCUGAAACAACUGUACAAGCUAAUUUUUUGAGUAUUAAUCUCUGGCAAAGUAAGCAAGCUUUAGCAAAUUUCUUUCUGAGGUCAUGUGCUCCUUUCUUCUGAUUACCAUAUGCAGUUUCACACUAUCAAAGGCGAACACAUAGCUACAAAAGUAAUGUCAUAUCUCUCCAAGUGCGUUAGGGACUUGAGACAGCUCACGUGACUAAGAUGGAGAUUGUCAGAUUUCCAAAAUCCUUGACUCAUUUCUUUCCGGGUAGCUUUCUAAGAGCUUUGCUGGGCUAAAAACAGCAUGUCUCACACUGGACACUGUUUGAUGGGCCUUUUCUGCUACAUUUAGAAUCGGGUGCAAUCUUCGCUGCGUCAAGUGCAAGCUUUCCUUCUUUUUAUAAUCGAUCUUAGCCUACCUUCCUCUCGAAGGUUGAUACAAAUACAUGAUGCGCGGAUUUACACCUUUGCCGAACUUGCAUGUUCAUGGCUGGAGAUUGGAUUAUAACGCGGCACAGAUCAUGGUCACAGGAAAAAUGUUUAGUGACCGGACUCGAAGCUGCCAAUCGGGUGGUAGACUUUCUUGGAGAAGGAAAUUUGCUUAAAUAAUUCCAGUCAAGGGAGAUGAACCUCUUAUCUCUAAGCACCCAGUAACCCUUAACAGAAACUUCGAGUUUAGCUCUCAAUUUCCAAUGCCUGAUCAUUUCCUUGCAUCUCAAUAUGCUGUUAUAUUAAUCUAAACCCUCUCGCAAUUCUGAGUUGCAUUCAUACUAUCAUGGUUAUCGC